rnacentral:rRNA from 1 species
CAGUAGCCGCGGGAAUACGUAGGUCCCGAGCGUUGUCCGGAUUUAUUGGGCGUAAAGCGAGCGCAGGCGGUUUGAUAAGUCUGAAGUUAAAGGCUGUGGCUCAACCAUAGUUCGCUUUGGAAACUGUCAAACUUGAGUGCAGAAGGGGAGAGCGGAAUUCCAUGUGUAGCGGUGAAAUGCGUAGAUAUAUGGAGGAACACCGGUGGCGAAAGCGGCUCUCUGGUCUGUAACUGACGCUGAGGCUCGAAAGCGUGGGGAGCGAACAGGAUUAGAUACCCCGGUAGUCCCUGUCUCUUAUACA